rnacentral:rRNA from 1 species
GACGAACGCUGGCGGCGUGCUUAACACAUGCAAGUCGAACGGAAAGGCCCUGCUUUUGUGGGGUGCUCGAGUGGCGAACGGGUGAGUAACACGUGAGUAACCUGCCCUUGACUUUGGGAUAACUUCAGGAAACUGGGGCUAAUACCGGAUAGGAGCUCCUGCUGCAUGGUGGGGGUUGGAAAGUUUCGGCGGUUGGGGAUGGACUCGCGGCUUAUCAGCUUGUUGGUGGGGUAGUGGCUUACCAAGGCUUUGACGGGUAGCCGGCCUGAGAGGGUGACCGGCCACAUUGGGACUGAGAUACGGCCCAGACUCCUACGGGGGGCAGCGGUGGGGAAUAUUGCACAAUGGGCGGAAGCCGGAUGCAGCAACGCCGCGUGCGGGAGGACGGCCUUCGGGUUGUAAACCGCUUUCGCCUGUGACGAAGCGUGAGUGACGGUAAUGGGUAAAGAAGCACCGGCUAACUACGU